GAUGAACGCUGGCGGCGUGCCUAAUACAUGCAAGUCGAGCGAACAGACGAGGAGCUUGCUCCUUUGACGUUAGCGGCGGACGGGUGAGUAACACGUAGGUAACCUACCUAUAAGACUGGGAUAACUUCGGGAAACCGGAGCUAAUACCGGAUAAUAUUUCGAACCGCAUGGUUCGAUAGUGAAAGAUGGCUUUGCUAUCACUUAUAGAUGGACCUGCGCCGUAUUAGCUAGUUGGUAAGGUAACGGCUUACCAAGGCAACGAUACGUAGCCGACCUGAGAGGGUGAUCGGCCACACUGGAGCUGAGACACGGUCCAGACUCCUACGGGAGGCAGCAGUAGGGAAUCUUCCGCAAUGGGCGAAAGCCUGACGGAGCAACGCCGCGUGAGUGAUGAAGGUCUUCGGAUCGUAAAACUCUGUUAUUAGGGAAGAACAAACGUGUAAGUAACUGUGCACGUCUUGACGGUACCUAAUCAGAAAGCCACGGCUAACUACGUG
rnacentral:rRNA from 1 species